rnacentral:rRNA from 1 species
UAGCAUCGGAACGUAUCCCGUAGUGGGGGACGAACCCAGCGAAAGCUGGGCUAAUACCGCAUAUGCUCUACGGAGGAAAGCGGGGGACUCGCAAGAGCCUCGUGCUAUGGGAGCGGCCGAUGUCCGAUUAGCUAGUUGGUGGGGUAAAGGCUUACCAAGGCGACGAUCGGUAGCUGGUCUGAGAGGAUGAUCAGCCACACUGGGACUGAGACACGGCCCAG